GGCAAGGUGGCCGAGUGGUUAAGGCGCUGGAUUUAGGUUAUUAACUCCAGUGGGAAACCGCGCGAGUUCGAAUCUCGUCCUUGUCA